UCCGCCCCUGGCUCUGAGCGUGGCAGCGUCCUCCCUCACGACGGUGCCGAUUCGGACCUCGACGAGUCGGAGCUGCGCCGGGAGCUGCUCAACGACAAAUGGAGACAGCUGUUCGACAAGUACGACCCCGAGGGCUUCGGCGAGAUCCCGUGGGACGACUUCGUGGAGGUGCUCAACCAGCCGGAGUUCGCCGCCGAGGUGGACGCGCACAAGCGGG